rnacentral:tRNA from 1 species
UCCCUGGUGGCUCAGAUGGUAAAGCACCUGCCUGCAAUGUGGGAGACCCGGGUUUGAUCCCUGGGUUGGGAA